UCAACAGUUGUUUAUGGAGCACCUACUACGUUCCAGAAUACAGGCCUGAAGGAGACAGGCAAGACUCCUGCCAUCUCGGAGCUUAUGGUCUAGCCUGGGAGACACCCAAUAAACAGCUCACUUGGCCAAGAACCUUUCAGUGUCCCAUUACUCAUCGGAUCCUGGCAUGACAAAAGUCUGGAACAGAGGACAGAAGUCUGGAACUAGUCCAGGUGGAGAAACUGAAGCCCAGAGAAGACUUGCUGAGGCCUCUAAGUCAGCUCGUGGUAGUCCCAGCAUUAGAACUGUGUUUUCUUAUCUCCGAAUCCUUUGCUUUGUGUACCAAACCAUGCUGCUUCAUCUACCUCACUCUGAAAAAAGAAGUGCAAAAGAUGCACUAA